rnacentral:lncRNA from 1 species
AUGACGCCGGGCACGCAGGGAGGCAAUGCUGGAGCUGUGUGGGCUUUGCCUGUUGUUUUUAGGCUGUGCUGCCAUCCAGCAGCUGGGAUACCAUGGGCAAACCUGCUCAGCAUCCCGGGCCUGAUGCCAGGGAGGAUCAGCUGUGCCUCCUACCCGGGUCGGGAAUUUCCACUCGCUCUGUGGGCAGACCGUGGGGAACCACUGGCAGUGCCUGGCACAGAUGGGACACUGGAAUGUGCCCUGUCCCUAUGGGAAACUAAUCUCUCCAGAGGUGCAAAUCCAAAGUUUUGCCCUCAGAAAUGGGGACGUGGGUUCUCAGAUUUUUUUUUUUUUUUUUUGCCAUGCUGCUUAGCCCAUGGCAUUGCUGCUGCUCUGCUCCUGCUGCUCUGCCUUGGAGCUCCCGGUUCCAGGCUCUGCUGGAGGCGAUGCCGAGGUUCACACAGCGUCGGGGCUGGGGGCUGCACCCCGGGGACGGGGGCUCCUGGCUGCUGUGCUUCUUCCCGCAGCUGCAGCCGGUGUUUCCCUGUGGCAGGAGGCGGGGGAGCGGGGCCACGGCAUGGAAAGUUGGCAGCCGGCGGAGAGGGGAGUGGAAAGAAUGAGCUCAAACCCAGAAAAAUGCGGCCGUGCUGGAGGAUGGGAGGAGUGGGAGGAGAGGCCAAGGGGGGCCACGGUGAGCGCUGGGAAAGGAGAGAGGCUGGGAGGAGGUGCUGGCAGGGGGCCCGGGGCUGCCUGUGCUGGGCCCGCUCUGGGGAAGGUGGUGCCACUCUCGGCGGUACCAGCUGCUCCAGCGAGCGCUCCGGGGCUGUCCCAGUGCCAUCAGCCUCUGGGUGGCCCCUGUGUGCUGUCUACCCCUGGGUGGCCAUCGCUCCCAAUGCCGUCCAUCCCUGGGUACCCACCAGCCCCAGCACAGUCUCCUGCCAUGCCAAGGGCUCCCUGGUGGCCACCGUGGGACAGCAGCCCCUGACUCGCCCAUCUCGCUCUGCACAGCCACACCACCCUUUGUGA